GAUUCCCAGAGAAGGACUAAGUGAGAGCCCUCAGCAGCCAAGACUCCUGGAAACCCGAGGAACAAGUGCCCGGGUCCUGACAGGCCGUCUGGGCUGUGUGCUAUGGCACAGCCCCUAGAGGCAAUUGGAGCCCGUUUGAGGACGCAGAGAGCAGAGGAAUGCAAGUCAAAGCGUGCAGAGAGCUGGGAACAGCAAGUUUCAUUUUAAACUGCAGCGCUGAGCCAGAGACAUGCACAAGGUUAAAGGAAGUAUUUGUGGAAUGGAAUGAACAGAUGUCAUGUCCUAUGACUCAGCACACAGCUCCAGAUGGCUUCCUGCAAUUUCUAGUCUUGUUGGCUGAGGUGCCGAAGCCCUGGUACAGUAAAGUAAAACCGAAAACAUGUUGCAACUAAGAGUGGGAACCCUCCUCCUCUGCCUGCUCAUCCGCAGACCACAAGAUGAGGAAUCUGAGCCUCAGAGAGGGAGGGAGCCUUGCGAGGGUCACAACAGCUGUCCCCACAAGGAAGUUUGAAGGUCUUGUCAAGGUCUGAUCAGAGCCCACCAGGCCCCCGAGGUACUCCUGGAAAUUGGUGGUGUGACCUCAUUUGCAUCCCAGGGGCCCAGCCUGCACAUGGCCUGUCUAGGAGGUGGUGAAGCACUGGACCAGAGUUUGGAGUCUAAAGGGAAAACUUGCCAACAGUGGGGGUCUGCAGAGAAAGAGCAGACCACGUGAUCAGAGAGAGCAGAGCACAUGAUGAGACAGAAGCAGGGCUGAGCGCUUGAAUCCAGAGAAACAAGGAAGAAGGCUGUGGUGGCCGCAAAGCCCGGUGCACUUCUUACAGUUCCUUUUUAUGUGAACUUUUCCGAGGACUAGCAAGCAGACAAUUCCUGAUGAAAACCUCAGUGUUUUGAUUAUGUCCUGUUAAUAAAUGUGGUAUGUGAUUCCCACUCCAUAAACUUGACUGUGCAAGAAAUGUUACAUUAUUUUAUUUCAUUGAAUUUUAAUUUAAUCUGACCCGGAGUCCACAUUUUUGCUGAGGUGGCUAGAAAGUUGAUCUCAGUGAGGUGAGAGGACCCUUCUUUUGGGCAGUCCACAAUCUGGGAGGCUCCCAUCUGAAACGGGUCUUCAGUCCAACCCCGCAGCCGUGGCUACUGUGGCCCUCCCUCACUAUCUGAAGGCAAGUGUGCAGACCCAGCAGGUCCUAGGGGGUUGCUACCUCCUCAGACACACUUCCCAGCCCAAGCCUCUGCUCGCUUUCCUCCUGUGGGGUCCCUAGAAGGAAGGCAUCUCUGCUUUUGUUAUGCCAGGCUCUGGCCUCCCUUAGUUAAAUGUGCUACCCAGCCAUUUCCACUGGCACUGCCAGCCUCCAUGUAUCCCAGCCUUGGGGACUCUCCCCUGUCUCAUGGCACUCAAAUGCACUUGGCUCUUUUUCUUUUCCCUGCAGCAUAAUAAUGUCAAGUUUGGGCUUUUAACAUGCAAAAGACAGGAAGGCAGCUUGUCAUGGAGCAUCCUUCUGCUAUAGCAUGGCGCGACUUGUUUGUACUGGAGGAGGAGUGAGCACAGGAGUGCAAAACGCAAAGUAACACCCCCGGGGGUCAUCCUGGCGUUCUGUUCUGCUCGUGUGUGUUCUAAUGGCCAUGACACCGCUGCUUCUGGCAACCUCCCUGCUCCAGAAGGGCCCUGUCAGACCCUCCCUGACAUCUCUGUGGGCUCCUGGAAUUCCCACCUGCAGCAUAAUACCCAUUGGCUCUGAGUGGUGAGAUGGGGAGACCACUGAUGAGCCCCAGUCCCUGGCCCUCCUGCCAGGGACAGAGGCGCUUUGGCACGUAAAGUAAGCAUGAGGACCCAGCAGGCUCCCAGCAGGUUGCUGCUUCCUGAGACAUGCUUCCCAGCCCAGGCUGCUGCCAUUUCUCCUGAAUUCUUCCCUGGAGCAGCUCUGGGUUUAUUUUUAUGGGAUGUGCAACAGUCACUUUACUUAAGCUCAAAGUUGACCUUCUGGUUUCCUUGCUUCACACCCGCAGGCUUGGGCAAUCCCCCACUCCUCCUGCGGCUUUCAAGGCCUCCUUAUGAUCUGGUCUUACUUGGUCUUCACUCACCUUUCCAGCCUCUAGCCUCACCCUCACCCUCUUCACAUUUGCUCUGACCCCAGAAUCACACAUGUACUUUCUUCCCUGGGCCUUUGGUUAUCCUAUGUCCUCUGCUGGGAUACUCUCUCCAGCAGCCUAGUGGGCUGCCCCUGUAGCCAUCCACAGUGUCAGCUAGGGCAGGGAACAUGGCCCUGAAGUGCCUAGACUUGGGUUCAGAUAGCAGCUCCACUAGUGGCUGGAUGUGUGACCUUCCAUUCUCUGAGCCACAAUUGUCUCAUCUGUACAGUGGACAUUAAAUGAGGGUCAGGGUGAGGAUUCAGUGAGGAAAUGGGUGAAAGACACAAGGAUGAUUAGAAUUAUGUGCCACUCUGCUAUGUGCUUGGUGAAUAAAACUCAUUCCUUUGAUGAAUACCAUCCCUUUGUACAGGACUCUUAGCUGCAAAAAAGCAGAGUAUAGUUUAUUGGGCAUAAGAGGUGACUGACAAUGAAAAACUUAGUCAGCAGUUUGAACAAUAAAAUAAAAAGAAUGAAAGUAACAGCCACACUUUAUUAGCACUUAUUGUGAGCAGGUACUGUGUGGAAUGCUUGAAGACAUUAGGUCACUUUAUGCACAAAUCCUCCAGGAGCAGGGAGUUUUGACUAUUCAUCUGUUUUUAUAAACGACAAAACAGAGGAUCAGGGAGUUUGUGUGAGUUAUUUAAAGUCUUGCAGCUUAUAAGUGGCACAGUCUUGUUGAAAUUAAAUCCAGAUCUGAGUCCAAAGAUCAUACAGUUAAAUACACCCACACAUGUGUGCUGAUGGGGUUCAGGGCAUGCUGCCCCCAAAUAUGCCAUUUUGGCAUACUGGUUCUUUUGAAUUAAAAUUACUUAAGAAACAGCCAGUACAAGAAGGACACACUGACCCUCCUUUGUCUCCCUGGAAGCAGGAAAUAAAUUUCCCAUGUGAAAGGCACCCUCCCUGCACCAGGAGGUAAAGAGACACCCUUAUCACAGAGAUAGGGUGUGGGGCAGAGAAGGCUGCAGAAACACUCCUGUUACUUCUAACUAAUUUACUACCCCAAACCCAAACUUCUUUGUCUCAUCAAUUCUUCACAAAUUUAUUGUUCCUUUGUCUAAAAGGUAUAAAACUUGCUUAUUUUGAUCACUUCUCUGAGUCUCAUAAUUUUAUAACUCCCAGAUGAAUGAAAUUAAAUUUGGUUUACUCCUGUUAAUCUAAUGUCCAUUUAAUUAUUAGAUCAACCAAAGAACCUAGAAUGGAAGAAAGGAAGUUUUUCUCCCCUACAGUACAUACACUUCUACACCCACAUAUACACACACACACUCACAUAUCCCAUUGUGCCUUUUUCAACACCACCAGUCAAUUAACUCAAUUCUUAAGUGAACACUGACUGUAUGUUCUACAAUUCAGCUCUAUCUUGACACUCUCUACCUAGAGAUAGCAUCAGAUCCCAUAGGUGAAGGGCUCAGUCCCACGAGACUGCCCCCCUUUUCAGAUACCAUUCACAAGUCCAGGUUGUCAGCUGGGCUGACCGACAGGCUGUUAAUCAGAGGUUCCCACGACCUCCUCCUUGGGCUCCAUUAGUUUGCUAGAGCAGCUCACAGAACUCAGGGAAACAUCUUACUUAAGAGAUUACCAGUUUAUUGUAAAAGGAUAUAGCUUAGAAAUAGGUGGAAUAGAGGCAUAGGGCAGGGUAUGGGGACAGGGUGUGGUGCUCGCAUGCCCUCAGAAUGUGCCACUCUCCCCAGAUCUCUGGGUUCAACCCAGAAGCUCUCCAGCCUCCAUCCUUUUGGUUUUUAUAGCAACUUCCUCACAUAGGCAUGAUUCAUUAAAUCACUGGGCCAUUGGUGAUUGAACCUCCCUCUAGCUCCUCUCUCCUCCCAGGAGGUCAGGGAUUUGGACUGAAAUUUCCAAACCUCUAAUCAUGUUUGGUUCCCUGGCAACCAACCUCCAUCCUUAGGGGCUUUCUGAAAGUCACCUUAUCAACAAAUUCAUGUCUGGUUGAAAGUGGCUUAUUAUGAAUAAUAGAAGAUACUUCAAUCAUGUUUUUCACUUAGGACAUCCGAAGAGUUUUAGGAGCUCUGUGCCAGAAAUGGGGAUGUAACCCAAAUAUAUAUUUGUAAUUGUUCAUCACAAUAUCACAGACAUAUACUCAUAUUCACAUGCACACCCACAUGCUUGCACAUAUGUCUACACAUAUAUACACAUAGCCACACCCACAAACACUCACAAAAGGAGGGCACACAGGAUACAUAGGCAACGGGACCUAGGGACCUAUGGCUUGCUUAGAAAGAAGAAGGCAUGAAUAGCGAAGAGAGCAAGUGACACAGCUCCGGUGCCACUGAGGGAGGGGAGAGCUAGCUCAGUUUAGGAGUAGGGCCUUCUGGCAGCCUGCUGCACUGAUGCCACUGUUUCACUGAGACUUACGGAGUUGCUUGCUCCCCUCUGCCCAGCAGUGCUGGGGAUCAGGGCCUGCAAACAGCUUGCGCUCCACCAGGGUAGUUAGUGCUCCCUGCAGGGAGGGGGUCACUGGACCUUUGUCCCAGGACACCCCAAACCUCCACCUUAUCUGACACUGCAUGCUGACAGGUGGCUGGAACACUUUCUUUCAUUACUCCUUCAUUUAACCUCAGCCUCCAACCCCCAAAGGCUUUGUGGGUCAUUCAGGCGCCUUUCAUUUCCAUUGACUGUGGGACACAUGUUACUUUUGUACAUGUGGUAUUGAAGUUGAUUGUUUUAGAAAGAAAACAUUAGAAAUCAUGCCUGCGAAUACCUGUCAGCAUUUUAGCGUUUCGAACACGUCCUCAUUUUAGAAGUGGCUAGUCUGGUGCCCAACUGUUACUUAUACAUUCAAUCAUUUAAAAAAUGUUUUUGGAGCCCCUACUGUGAGUGAGACACUAUAGCCACUGUGAUAAUAACUACAAACCAAACAGUCAAGGUUCCCACAUCAAAGGAGACUUCUGGAGGGAAAUGGAAAACAAGUCAGCCAUCGAAGGAACAAGAAACAGCAUUUGAGAUAGUGGUGUAUUAGAAGGGCCAUUGUCAGGUUAUGUGGCCCCCAAAAGUAUUGCAAGCAAGGCCUCAAAUCAAUAUUUGUAUGCCAGUGUUGGUAACAGCUCUACUCAAAACAGCCAAACGGUGGAAACAACCCAAAUAUCCAUUAACAGAUGAAUAAACAAAGUGUGCUAUGUACAUACAAUGGCGUAUGAUUCAACUUUAAAAAGGAAGGACAUUCUGACAGAGGCUCCGGCAUGGAUGAGCCUUGAGGGUAUUAUGCUAAGUCAGACACGAAAGGACGAACACUAUACUACUCCACUGACAUGAGGUACUUAGAACAGGAAUGUUCUUAGAGCUGGAAACUAGAAUAGAGCUUAUCAGGGGCUGGGAGGGCAGGUGGACUAGGGAAUUGUUGUUAAAUGGGUACAAAAUAUCUCCUCGGGAUGAUGAAAAAGUUCUGGAAAUGGAUGGUUGCACAGCACUGUGAAUGUACUUAGAGCUACUGAAGUGUACACUUAAGAAUUGUUAAAAUGGUAACUUUAUGUCGCUAUGUUAUGUUAAAUUUUACCCCAGUAAAAUUUAAAAAAAAAGUUUAUGUGAUAGAGAGUAAGCAGGGAAGGGUAGGGCUAAUUUACCUAAAAUGGCUAGGGAAGGCCUUUCUGGAAAAGGAACAUUUGAUCAAUGAAUGGACAAGAGACAGGAUUCAGCCAGAUUGGCCAGAUGUGGGGAGGCAGUGGGCUGAGGUCACGUGGGAGUGGUGGCAGGCACAGUGGCCCAGGGGUCUGGCAGGCUGGGAUAGGGAGCACAACUUCUAUUAGGAGCAGUGGGAAACUACAGAAGGUCGUAGUCGUAGCCGUGGGAGUGACAGAAUCAACCUUACACUUUUGAAAAGACCACUCAGGCUGCUGUGUGACAGAGCUUGCCAGGGGACACUGGGGAGUUGUGCGGAGCCCACGGGGUACUCCAGGCAGGAGGUGAGGUCUACCCCUUCCAGGGCUCAGCCCCCUCUCCUCCUCUGCCUGUCGUUCCUGCAGUGUGGGGUUAGCGGGUCAAUGUUGGGAAAGGAAGGUGAGGAAAUCCGUGUGUUGAAAUCUGCUGCUGCCUGUGUCAGUGGCAAAGGCCCCAUGCUGCUGGGGUGCGACCGGCCCCCCACGGCCCCUGCGUAAAUCUGGCUCACCCAGCUCGAGGGAGGAGGGACUGGCAUUGACCUGAGGGCAGGGGCUGUCGGCAGGCGGCAGGUGGGUGGUGGCUUACCAGGCCAUGGGCCUGAGAGUCUGGCAAAUGGCCUCACCUCCUCAGCCUCAGUUUCCUCAUCUGUAGAAGCAGGAUAGUAAUAGUACUUACAUUGCAAGGACUCAAUAUGAUAAAAUGUGUCAGGCUCUUUGCACAGUGUCUAGCACAGGUUAAACUCUCAGUAAAGGUUAGUCAUCAUCAACAUCAUCAUCAUUAUUAUUUUGCUAUUGUAAAUCUAAAACAUUUAUUCAAUCUGUUCUGGUUGCAUUAAGAUCAUGAGAUUUCCCCAUCUGAAGGCUAUAAACCCAGUGCUAAGUCCCUUUGAUUAAUAACUUUUCUUUUGUAGUCUGUGCACCUGAGGAGCAGGAUCUGGAUCUUCUUCCUCUUUUUCUCCUCCUUUGGGUCAGUAGGCUCUGCCAUCUAUGUCCCUUAACACCCUGGUCUUCGUGCAUUCAAAACAUCUGGAGUUACAGGUACAGUUGUCUCUGUUACCUGAUGACAUGCUCCAUUAAGGCAGGACUGCCCCGCCACCCCCUCUACCCCAUACACACACACACACA